rnacentral:rRNA from 1 species
AGUGAACGCUGGCGGUAGGCCUAACACAUGCAAGUCGAACGGCAGCACAGUAAGAGCUUGCUCUUACGGGUGGCGAGUGGCGGACGGGUGAGGAAUACAUCGGAAUCUACUUUUUCGUGGGGUAUAACGUAGGGACACUUACGCUAAUACCGUAUCCGCCCUACGGGUGAAAGCAGGGGAUCUUCGGACCUUGCGCUCUUGAAUGAGCCGAUGUCGGAUUAGCUAGUUGGCGGGGUAAAGGCCCACCAAGGCGACGAUCCGUGGCUGGUCUGAGAGGAUGAGCGGCCACACUGGAACGGAGACACGGUCAAGACUCCUACGGGAGGAAGCAGUGGGGAAUAUUGGACAAUGGGCGCAAGCCUGAGCCAGCCAGACGGGGGGAGUGAAGAAGGCCUUCGGGUUGAAAAGACCUUUUGUUGGGAAAGAAAAGCAGCAGGUUAAUACCCCGCUGUUCUGACGGUACCCAAAGAAUAAGCACCGGCUAACUUCGU